rnacentral:lncRNA from 1 species
UGAAAGUUUCAAAGGUAAGUAAGGCAUUCCUUAUUAAUGUGGAAUAAUACUUAGAAUGCUAAUAACAUCAAAUAUAUUACACAAAUGCAUUUUGCAUAAAAGUUCCAACUUUAAAAUAUUUCAACUGGAUUAGCUAUAGAAACAUUUCAGUUUUCCACUAGAGGAUCCAUGAUUAAAUCUGGAUCUUGAACUUCAAAUUUAUCGGAAAGUUAUGGCUUGGCUAUUGAUUCCCCAUUCUCUAUAAUCUAGUUGAACUUUAACAAUGUAACCAAAUGGCUUUAUGAUAUAAUGUUAGCUGAAAACACAGAGUACAGGAUUCAGUUCUGGAUUCCAUACCUCCAAAUGUUUUCAGGAGGGACCUAGCUUGUUUUAUAGCAUAUCCUUCAAACCACAUUGCUUCUCACUAGUUCAUCAUAUUAGUUGCUUAGAAACAUUUUGUACCUAGAUCAAAUCUGGGAUCUUACAUCCCCAAAUUUGAAUGGUUCAGUCUCAACCUAUUAAUUUCUCUCAUCCUUUGCAGUCCAGCUGAUCUCUCUACAAGUGGACAACUUAUGGGAAGCCUGAAAUAACCCUGCCUGAUGAUAAUUUACAAGAUUGGAAAAUGAUGGAAAAAAGACAAAAAAAGGGGGAAGGCCCACUUUACCUUGGGUAUGGAUAGCUGUUUAGUAUCUGAUAGAAAGCAAAAUAGAGCAAGAGCAUUCAAACAGAGCAGGUAUCAACGUUUAUUGGGAACAUUUUUUCUAAUUUUUAUGCCUUUUUCCAAUGAGAGAUUAUUAAAUGGCAAAGCAUUUCAAAGGCAUCCUAUGGACUGUCCACACUGUGAUUACGUUAACCAACAGAUUUUUAAGAAUGAAAAUUAAUGGAUUAGAUUUAAAUUUUUUUUUAAAUAUGGAAGUAUGGGAGUUGGAAUUAAAAUCUGGAUUCUUCAGUUGGCAAAUGAUAAAUUUAUUGCCUAGUUAACCUGGAAGAAAGUCUAUGUAAUGCUUCCACAUUGUGCCUUAUUUAUUUAGAACUUUCUUUAAGAAAAUUACUUUUUUUAAGUUGUAUUAUGACAGUUAACAUUAAUUAUUGAUAUAAUUUAG